ensembl:lncRNA
CGCUCCUAGAUAUUAGCUCCUGGAUACUAGCUCCUAGCUCCUAGCUUUGUCAACAGAUGUUGCCUCCACCCAGCUCUUGAGCAGAAACAAUUCAUGGGAGGAGGACUGCCUCUUCUGUCGAUGUUCAUCUCCCUGCUGCCUGCCUGGUGGCACUCCAGCUCGACGUGAAUACGGCUCCUCACGUUCCUAAUCUGGUCAGCUCGUACCAGCUGAUGGUCUGGGGCCAAACCAGCGGCUGAAACAAAGGCCUGAUUGGCCCCCAGGUCUCCUGGCUCAUCAGACGAUUGGUCGGUGAGUCCUCCAAGGUCGUGUCCUUGCUGGAAGCCACCAUGCAGUCGACAGUUUACUGCUGCAGACCGAGAGGACAUACAGACCGAUAGCCACGGAGAUACCUUCAGGAGGGAAAGGGUUCUGGUUCUGUCUUCAAACACCCAGUAUCGGCUCAGGCAGACUCACUGUUUGGUUUCCAUAACAUUUAUUUGCAGGGAGAGGAGAGAGUGAAAACCAUCAACGCAAUAAGACACAAUGAACAGCCGUCGGUUUCUCUAACCUCCUCCACCCAACAUAGUGACGGAGGAGAGCUGAGUGGUGCUCAGGGCUCCCAGGCCCUGGCUAUCCGUGUCCGUUCCUGUUAUUUACCUCGGUGAUUAUUCCCGACAGCCGGCCCCAGCUCAGCCCGCCGUUCCUCCAACUCAUCCCGGUGUUCCACGACGGAGGAAUCCGGGUUUCCUUGAAUAAAGAACAAGGUGUUCCUCCGUGGCAGACGCAGACAGCUCUACUCACACUCAUCGUCAGGUGUAUCUCUGCGCUGUGCUCCUGGGUCAGGGGAGGCGGUGGACGGUUAUGAAGGUGAUCUGGUCGAGGUUCAGCAGCGCCUGAGGUCCCAUCCCGGAGGUAGGAUCCCCUCCCACUGCUCCGUGUGGCUCGGAGACAGGCCGCCUCUCAGACGGCCCCGUGGUGGAGGAAAGGCUCGUUCUGCG